UAACGAGUCAUGCGACACCCUCAACACGUGAAACGGAAGUCUCCGGCAGACUUCUAGUGGGGAUCAGGAUCCAAUCAGCGUCUUAGUGUAACCUCGAGGUACUCAACCAAUCACACUAAGCCUAAAAGGUAGGCAACUCUUGCCGAUCACAACUCCUUGUGAUUCCCAUCCUGUUCGGCCUCCGAAUCACCAUGGCCUCGAGGGACUCGACCAACCAUGAUGCUCGGUUAAGUCAACACCUUCGUUACAAGAUGAGUAUGAUUUGAUGAUAUACCCUCGAGGGACUCGACCAAGCAUACCAUGCCCUCAGGUCACCGGUGACAUCUCUAUGUCGUAAGCAAGAUAGCGAAUCGCGAUAUAGGUGAGUCUCGAGGGACUCGACCAACUCAACCUACACCGGGAAUCGGUUCCUACUCAUAACGAUGGAAGGCCACGUGGGUCAAUCUAAUUGCCUCACAUUUACCGACUUAAUAUUAUCGAGAGAUGUUUCUAUGAUUUG
rnacentral:lncRNA from 1 species